UUGUCAGCACUGGAGAUUUGCUCAAUUUCUCCUGCAAGACCCGAGUCAUCGGCGCAGCUGCCAGCAUGCAAAUUCCCACUGCACUUGAGUAAAGCUGUUUGCCUGAGCUUGCACGGCGUGAUUUGCCAUGGUGCUGUCAGCCUGGGCUUCACGCAGGAGAAAACAGCUCUGCAAGAGGCAGCUUUGAGGGGGCUCAGAGAUACGUGAGCCUGAUGGGAGCCUGUGCUGCCACAGCUGCUCUGUGUAGGCAGCUUCAAGGAUAAAAAGCCACAGAUGAAUCUCUUCCUCAAGGCAGACGAGGUCUUACUCCUCUGCCAGCCGAAACCACCAGCUCAGCGGAUGAAAAUCAGACCAGAGACACCGACGGGCUCUGAGAAGUUGCAGUCGCAAGUUCCUGCGCAUCAGCAAAGCUGUUGGAGCUGCUGGCAUGAGCAUGAGCCAGCUGUGAUGUGCUGGGACCCAGCUCCAGCCUCAGUGAGCUGGGGACAAGCUCGUGUGCUUCACCUCGCCGUCAGGGUGAGCCCAGAGGAAGCCCGGGCACCCAGGACAGCCCAAACGACAGGCAGGAAUUCGUUCUGCUGCCGCAGCGCCUGAGCCUUUCGGCCAGGAAAAGAAAAUACAGCAUGGCAGACAGAGCUUGUCCGAAUCCCGACAGCCCUUCUUCUCCCAGCUUCCCAGUCUAUUCCGAGGCGAAAUUAAUUCGAAAGAAUUGCCCCCUGGAGUUUCUUUAAUUACUGAGUGUUAUUAUUUGUAUUGUGAUAGCCUCCGUGGGUGCAUACCACAGCCCAGCCACGCUUGUGCCAGGAGGAGAACACACACCACAAAGGUUUCAAGAGACCGUCGAGCACACACAGGAGAAACAAGAAACCUCGGUUGGCAACCAGGGCCCUAUUUUGGUCGGCACUACCCACACACGUCGGCUAGGCAGCUCUCACAUCAUUUACAGGCUGAGCGAGACGUACUGGGAAGGAGCUGCCCUUGGAAGGAGGCAAAAGAGAGACCAGUUCCCUCCUCAGCCAGGCGUGCUGCCUGCAGAGAAGAGGGCAGCGGGGCCCACAGGCAGCGUUCCUCAAAGGGUGGGUGGCUCCCGAAUCUUAAGUGGAUUCUUCCAGACAUUGUGAAACAUUUGUACCUUGAGGGGAGAUUAGUUUGCUUUUUUUUGACAGUCAUAACAUUGGCUCUUCCCUAAACACGUUCACGAAAAGACGAGGAGGAGCUCUUUAUUUACCGACAUUGUCUUGAUGUCCUUGCCUCCCUCUACUUAUUGUCUCCUUCCUUUUAUUGAGCCGGCGAGUUCUUUACAGCAGCAGCCAUCUUUCAUCCUCUUUGCAUGGUGCCAAACAAGGCCAUAUUGUCCACGACGGCCACAGGAGGGUGAUACAAACAGCAUUGCAUGCCGAAGGGCAUACAGAGGCUAUCGCUGGUACAAACCAUCAAAGACAAACGAAGGCGAUCCGACAAACAAAACUGCAGUUGAGCUCGGAUGAGCCCUAGCAAAUCUUACGAUGGUUUGAGAUGCAGCUGCGGAUCCCCAGAGCAAUCGUCCUUGAACAAGAAGUGGUCACACUGAGCGUGGCAAAAGGCUGACCCCUGAGCCAAAGCUCCCAGAAGCCACCGACCGAAAUUGCAGAAAAAUAACACUCGGCUCAAACUCAGCCCAUCUUUAAGGAAGUGCCGGCAGAACCGGGAAGGGCCUCCAUCUGCCUCAAGCUGGGUGAGAAACCAAACGUGACACGGACAAAGCUGCACUCGCUAAAUCCACGUCCGUCCCUGAGGAAGGCAAAGCACUGAGCAAAGGCAGACACGGGAGCCGACACGAUUCCUUCCUCCCAAAGGGCAAAAAGUGCUCCAGCACCUCCGCUGGCUGCGGGAGGAGGGCGGUAAAUUGAGAGCAGGGCGGCAUGAACAGGGGGAUGCAGAGGCCGGGGGCUGAGCAGAACAACAUCAGGCAAGAAAUCGGGCAGAAGAGGUGGCGGUGAGCUGCAGACGGCCAGAGCUGCAGCAGUGCUCCGGCCAGCCUGCCUUAGCAGCGAAUCCGGCGGGCAGGGAGCCUCCUUUUCCUUUCUCUCCUCUCCAGAAGGAAGCAAAGCCAUGGAGUUCGGCUUCUCUGUGAAUCGGCGAGCCAAGCCACGGUUCUAAAAAGACACAAAAACGAACGGGGAGAUGAGGGGUUGCGCGUCACAGAAGUCAGGAUAAGAACUGCUUGCUGUGAGCAGAACCCGGAAGGUUUUUAGGAACACCUCGAUAAGAGAGGAUGCACCCCCCUCCCCCAAAGCUGGCUCAUUCGCCUGAUCUACCUUAAAACAGUGCAACCUUUCAAGCCCCUGGCAAGCCGUAUUAACUAGGCCAUAAUCCUUCCCCCGCAGGCCUCGCAGAACCCAAUAAAGUCGUUACUGCCAAAAGGGUGCGCUCAGCACAGCCGUGUUCAGCUAUUAACGGGCUGCGCAACUAUUUCAUGUCUGGUAAGACAAAUGAGGAACGGAGCGAGCACGCCCUUGGGCUUGACCGGAGCGUCGUUGGAAAGGGGAAAAAAAGCUUUUCGGAAAGGAAGGAAAAGGUGACGAGGUGCCUGGGAGAAUCCUAAAGCAGUCAGUCGUCUUCCCUUGCAAGCCGGCACCUCGCCGGGGGGAACCGCGUGCCCCCAACACUUCUCUCGGAUGCCUGUUGCGGGCAGUAAGGCUGCAGCUCGAUGCUCGGGGGGCGCACGCUCGCACCAAAGCCAUCGCAGCGGGCGGUAUCGGGCCCAAGACUUGCAGUGGGGUUCGUGGGCCUCCUCCUGGGCCUUUUUUCCCCCCAGUUUUAUCAGUUAGCCUCUGAAAACUCAUCAUCUUCCCCCAGCCACAGUUGUGCUUGGUGCUUAAUUGCUUCUCGUGACGAAACCAGGGUGUGGAGACCGCAGCGGACUUGCUCCCUGUUAAAACUUCGCUUGGGGCCGGGCAGGGCUGAGAAGCACUGGGCAGCUGCUCCUGUAGGACACGGCUGAAGAAGCCCUGUCCGGCUGCUGCAAGCCUCUGGUGAUCCAGAAAACUGAGCUGGCUUCCUACGAUAUUGCUGCCUUGCGGGAACAAAGAGAAAUAAAUCUUAAAGAACUGGAAAACAACCAACCAACCAAAAAGCUACACCGAAGAAAUACACAAAGGGCUUUGGGGUUGCCCUCGAGUGCCCCUCACAACUCGUGGGCUUUCAGUCCCGCUCUCCUUGUCCAUAUGGACGCUGGCAGAGGACAGAGCUUCCACACGGGAACAACCAAACUGCUUUUUUGGGUUCUCCGGUGCAGCUUCUGCACAGCUGGAAAGGACCGGUGAAAAUUGCUGUUGAAUGUAGCUUGUGUGGCUCCACGCUCACCUCGUACAGGUACCAGCGCGUCAGGAAGUGCAAGAAAAAGCAGGGGAAAAGCUCUACGAAACACAAACAAAAUGCAGAAAUCCGGAACGGGCUUUGCCCACAAUUGCCCCCUUCCCCCAAAUUAUUGGAAAUGAAAUGAAUUUAGAGCAAAGAACGCCCUGCAGCAUACAUCAGCAGUGCAGGGCUUAGCUCUGUGGGGUCGCUGAGAAAAAGGAGGGGCCAUUUCCAUCCCACGGUGCGAGGAGCUGCAGGACCGAGAGCGUCACGGCUGCGGUAGUGUUUGCACCAUCUCCUUUGGAGCACGGCAUUAACGGGGGCUGUUCUGGGGAGGCCUCUUUUAUGUUAGUCUCUUAACACAAACUUGGCUGAAUUUUUUUUUUUUUUCCUCUUUGGUUUUCAUUUAGGAAAACUGAAAAAGGGUAAGAGCAUUGCUGCCAGCAUUGACUUUUAUUUUCACCCAAAGACACGCACCAACUAGGUGAGACCACCAGUUUCUCCCCCUUUUCCUGUCUUUUUUUUAAAUUUUUUUUCCUUCUACCAAAUAAAUAUUUUAAGGUAAUGCACAUCAGCACCGAGACUGCGAGGAGACACAGACGGGAAGGAGUUAGUCGCAACGCUCACAGUUCCACCUUGCUGCACUGGAAAGCCGUAUAGUCAAAGCUUUCGGUUUGCAGUACUUGAAGUGCAACAAGUCAUUUCGCAGCCCCAAACGCCAGGAAACACUGAUCGAGCAGCCCCGAGACCACCAGCAGUGUUCCAAAGCAAAGCAACCCCCACGGGGAGCAACGUGACAUCGCUCCGGAGGGGACUUUCUGGGGCAGCGAGAAAACUAAGGCGCUGCCCUAAGUGGUUCAGGAUCGGCGUGUGGGAGCGAUGCCAGGUCCUGUGGGGACAGCGGGGUCCUGAGCACCCCUGGCCACGGCCCAGCGGCUGGAGCAGGGCACCGCGCGUAGCUGGGUAGGUGAGGGAGGCUGGCGGAAGGCAGCGGCGCUCCUGGAGCCUUCUGGGGCUGCCAGAGAGACGCAGGGCUCAACAAAACGCCCACCUCAGCCACUGCCUGAGGAAAACGCACAUUUUUAAACCAGCCCUGAGGUCACCAAGCGUGACGUCCAACUGACAGGGCCUUCAGCAGGGAGGCUCCUACUCGCCCCUACUCCUCCCACCCCAAAUAUUUUCAGCGUGAUAAUAAAGAGCGUCUGCCUUAAUGAGAAACCAUAGGAACGUCCCUGCUGAUAGGGCGGAAGAGUUAGCAACAAGCUGCUGCCCCGACCCGCACGUGAAGCUGACCUUGUGCUGGCUCUCCAGCCAAGCCACUUCUCCGCUUGUAUCGCGUCCGAGGCACCAGUGAAAUUCGGUUUUGUGUGACAGGAAAAAAAAAACAGGCACUUGACGAGAUCUGGUUCGUGGCAUUUUCAGACAAACAUGGUUUCUGCUUUCCACACAGCCCUUUAAAAACACACACACUCAGUAAGGAGACAUUUAUUCCAUUAUUUCUGUUUGCAAAUUUUUUGGUACAAAGUUUAUUUUCAGAAGUUCCCACGUGAUCCUUUCUUCUACCAGCUUCUUGUAGGAUUUUUCUCUCUCUGAUUUAUUUUCUUUAUCUGUUGAAGCAAAAGCAGUAAUUGCUACAGAAAGCAAUAAUGGCAAUAUUACAAAUAUUUUACAGCAGCAUCCAUUCAUCUCUUUGCCUCAAAAAAAUAACAAAAAUAAAUCCAAAGACGAGAUCCAUACUGCCACAAAGGCUUAGGUUUGUAAUAUCAAGAAGUAUGCUGCGUUCCCAUAUAUGAGUUGUACAAGUCCGGCACAACUUUCCAAGUUUGUGCAGAGCCUGAUAAAUAAGACACAGAAAUAUCAGUUACAUUAUACUGUUUCUAAGAACUUUUACUCUGUAAAAUGUUUGGUCACUCCAAGCUAUAAGCUUAAUCACAUAUCAAAGAACACAGGCAAUAAAGCCCAUCUUACUAGAACAUAUAGUAUUAGGCCAAACAAAAUAUAAGAGGACAAAAUCUAGUGGUCACUGAAGCCUCUUCAAAAAAGGUCUAAAACAGAAUGUUUCCAUUAUGUAUCAGAAUAAAAAUGUACU